ensembl:lncRNA
GUGUCUCUUUAAAAAGUAAUUUUAUUUAUUUAAUUUUGGCUAUGCAGGGUCUUUUUUGCUGCACAGGCCUUCUCUAGUUGUGGUGAAUGGCGGCUACUCUUCACAGUGGCAACUGGGUGAACCUUUGGGGGAAAAGAAAAAUCAAAACCCAGUACAGAACUUGUUCUGGAUCUGUUCCCUUUCAACACUCCUUGGUGAUGUCAGCGGAAGUUCUCUGGGGCACAUCAUUCUGUAAACAUGGGCAUCUCCAAGGGAUGAAGAUUCUGUUGCUCCAUUCUGUGCAAGGCGGUUGGCUAAGAAAAUUGUGACGUUUUCCAGUUUAACAAGUCAAAUACAAAACUCAGGGGACUUCAUAAGCCUCAUGAUGGAGCUGUGAAUAGCAUCCCAUUAUUGAUUGGAAAUACUGCAUUGGAAUGCCGCGGAAGAGCCCCAAACCAAAACUUUUCAGAUGCCUGAAGCUGUGAGCUUUCCAAUUAGGCUGAAAGUUUCCCUUGAUAACCAGUAGUGCUGAAGCUUUUAAUAUUGUUUUGGCCUAUCAGUUCUUAGCACAAUUUUCUAGUUAUGAAGGCCAGCGGAUCACUCGGCGUCAGCGAGAUAGCUCAUCCAUCCCACUUGCACGCUUUCUGAUCAAAUAUGCUAUCUGAAAAAAAAGGAAUCUUCAGCUUCACGUAAAUCGAUCGUAAUUGGGAGCAGUUCGUCUUUCCUUCUUCAAUGCUAUCUCCUUCUGUGCAGCCUAUUUUGCAUCCAGAGAUACAUUUGAAAGUCGAAAUCCCUUGAAGCUAAAUAUUCUAAACUGACAGAAGAAUUUCUAGUGGCACACCAGCCUGGAGCCAUGUUUUUAUGAGGACAUCACUUUCUAUUUCUAAGCUUCAGUGUGC